AGAUUCUAGACAGUGGAGAACAGAUAGGAUUGAAGCAUUUUAAGCCUAUAAAGCCCUUGGGAUCUGGUGAUACUGGCAGUGUGCAUUUGGUCCAAUUGUGUGGAACUGAUCAGUACUACCCAUGAAGGCUAUGGAUAAGGGUAUCAUGCUCAAUAGGAACAAGGUAUUGGAUAGUUUGCUGACCAUUAAGUGCAAAUCAAUUUGUUUCAGUGGGAGAAAAAAGGCAAGCAGCAUAUACCCAGCAGCAUAUUGAUGAAGUCAAAAACGAGUGGGCAAAAUUUGUUGUUAAAACAUAUAUGUAAGCUUGUGGGUGGUGAUCGACUUAUUUUGGUAACCUUGAUUUUACAAGAUAUAUAGACAAUAUUAUUAUUACUUGCUAGAUUGAGGUUACUUUUGGUUAGAAUUGCUGGAUUUGAUCAUAUCUGGAUAUGGAUAUGUACUUUUGGAAAUGUUUUAGAUUGGCAAUGUAAGAACAGAUGGCAUUGAUAUAUGACGAUGUUAUAUUUUGGAUUUG